rnacentral:ncRNA from 1 species
GAUGAUAGAGGUUGCAUUCUUUAUCAGUAUCCUUUUGGAUGCGGCAGGCGCAGAUGAAAAAAGGAGAAAGGAAAGAGUGCCGAAAGGGUGGAUUACCUGAGGAUCCAGGCCUUGGGCACGAGGUUAAGAGCCGCGUGACUGUCAUCCGUGAAGAACGGAUGGGGCGCUAUCGG